GCUGGGCAUGGUGGUGGGUGCCUGUAGUCCCAGCUACUCGGGAGGCCGAGGCAGGAGAAUCGCUUGAACCCAGGAGCCAGAGGAUGUAGUGAGCUGAGAUUGCACCACUGCAUUCCAGCCUGGGUGACAGAGUGAGACUCUGUCUCAA
rnacentral:SRP_RNA from 2 species